rnacentral:rRNA from 1 species
UAGGGAAUCUUCCGCAAUGGACGCAAGUCUGACGGAGCAACGCCGCGUGAGUGAAGAAGGAUUUCGGUUCGUAAAACUCUGUUGUUAGAGAAGAACAGCGCAUAGAGUAACUGUUAUGCGUGUGACGGUAUCUAACCAGAAAGCCACGGCUAACUACGUGCCAGCAGCCGCGGUAAUACGUAGGUGGCAAGCGUUGUCCGGAUUUAUUGGGCGUAAAGCGCGCGUAGGCGGUUUUUUAAGUCUGAUGUGAAAGCCCACGGCUCAACCGUGGAGGGUCAUUGGAAACUGGAAAACUUGAGUGCAGAAGAGGAAAGUGGAAUUCCAUGUGUAGCGGUGAAAUGCGCAGAUAUUAGGAAGAAUACCGGUGGCGAAGGCGACUUUCUGGUCAUCAUCUGACGCUGAGGUACGAAAGCGUGGGUAGCAAACAGG